AAUGAACGUUGGCGGCAUGGAUUAGGCAUGCAAGUCGAGCGAUAAGUGUAGCAAUACACGGAAAGCGGCGGAAGGGAGAGUAAUACGUGGGAAUCUGCCCUUAGACCUGGGAUAGCAGCGGGAAACUGCUGGUAAUACCAGAUAAUGUCUAUGGACCAAAGGUGUGAUUCCGUCUAGGGAUGAGCCCACGUCCUAUUAGCUAGUUGGUAGGGUAAUGGCCUACCAAGGCGAUGAUGGGUAGCGGGUGUGAGAGCAUGACCCGCCUCACUGGGAUUGAGACACUGCCCAGACACCUACGGGUGGCUGCAGUCGAGAAUCUUCGGCAAUGGGCGCAAGCCUGACCGAGCGAUGCCGCGUGCGGGAUGAAGGCCUUCGGGUUGUAAACCGCUGUCGAGGGGGAUGAAGUGCACGGGGGCAAUCCCCUGUGUUUGACAGAGCUCCGGAGGAAGCACGGGCUAAGUUCGUGCCAGCAGCCGCAGUAACAC
rnacentral:rRNA from 1 species